CUUUCUUUUAACAUGCGACCAAGGCAUGCAAGAGCUGUUGCAUUUGAUUGUUUUUUGGUGACUCCUCCAGCCCAGAUGGAGCAAGGUUCUCCACCCUGCAGAUUUAAAGGAAAUUACAUUUGUUAAAAUGUAGGGUGUAGAUUAGUUUCAACUAAUUACCUGGGUGAGUCAAGGCCUUGCGAUCACCUGCAGAGGAAACAACUCGAACAAUGAAUGAUGCAAUAGGAGGAUUGUCUCUAGUCAGGUUUGAUAUCUCCGGAUACAGUUUAACAGAUAGCACCCUGUUCUUCUCCACCGAUAAAUGCCUUCAGUUCAAAUAAGUACAGUAAAAUCAAGCUUAUAUCAAUUGACAGAUCAAAGAGGAAGAAAGAAAAUAACUUUUCUUCACAAACAAAAAUUAGUACAGAGCUCAGUGGGUACUUUAUUUUCUUAGUUCUCUUUUAAAAAAUAGAAAACAAAAUUUAUCAGCAAACAAACAAACAAAGCAUCAAACUUUUCACUACAUAUCCACUACCCCAGUAUAAAAAAUUACAGCUACUUAUGGCCAAAACAUCUAAUUUUAACAAACAUAAAAAGAAAGAAGCAAUAUUUAUAGGAGCUAUGUGAGAUGAAAAUCAAGAAGAUUGAGGGGGUAACUUUCAAAAACAUCAUAUCCAUUAGAGAAAUAAAACAAGAAAAGGAAAGAAGCAAACCAAUUCCACUUGCCGAUCUUGAAAGGGUCGGAUUUGCGAUAAGUACAAGAAGAGAGAUUGUCUAUUCUCCAUUGAGCAAGACGAGAAGUUGUUUCAACUUUAUAAGCAGAAGAAUCGCUCAUCCUAGCGAAAGCAAGAGCCGCAGUGAUCUCAUUGAUACAAUCGAAUAUCCUCCCGUCCAACAAAUACGCACUUGCCUUUCCCAGAUUGACUACUACUCAUAAAGAUCAUAUAAAACCCACUCAACAAAAGACCAGAAAAGCAAAAACAAACAAUACCCAAUUCCUUAAAAUACAAAAAGAAAAAUCGUCUCUUCUCACUCUACUCGCACUGUAUCACUAUUUUUAUCAGCUUACCCAGAAAAGGGUGUUUAAUUGUUUUUAUUGAUUGAUCGAAAUUAAUGAUUUGGGUUUUGUUUGUUCGCUUUCAUUUGGUUUCCGGCACGCAAGGGUACUAAAGGUGCUUGCUUUACUUUACUCCAUUGAUGUUGAAGUUUGUUUCUUUGAGAAAAGAGAGAGAGAGAGAAAUGAUUUGGUGAUGCGUUUGUUGGCUUACACUGCACUUCAAGAGAGAAGAAGAAGAGAGGUGUAAUGGAUUAAAUUUAUUGGAUGGUUUUAUUAAUUUAUUUUCUUGGGUAUGGAAAGAUUUUUGUUUGCAAGUACAUUAAGACUUUAAUUUAUUUUGUGUACGUGUUUGGGAGGUAAUGCUUUUGUAAGAAAUUAAAGAAUUUCUUUGUUUUUUAUUUUAUUUUUGGGUGCUUUGACGCAAA